rnacentral:lncRNA from 1 species
GGAAAGGACACAUCAGAGAACAAGGAGCAUUGUAACGGGGGACAGUUGGCAACAUCUGGAGACAUUUUUUAUUGUUACAGCUGGGGAGAUGGUGCUAUUGGAGUCCAGUGGUGUAGAGAUCAGGGAUGCUACUAAACAUCGUAUGGAAGGCAGUGUGUGGAUCUUACACAUUGUCACAUCUCCUGUCACAGUGACUUGUCAUGCAAACUCUGUUCCUUCUUUAAGCGCCAACUCAAAAGCUCUUUUGUGCAUGAUCAAGCCUUUCCUGAUGCCCUUGGUGAGAGGGGAGCUCCCCUCCCCUCAGCUCUGGCCACAGUGUAUCCGGAUGGCCACUGUCCCACUGCAGCACGUGGGCUUGUUAGCUGUGAUGGCUCCUGGAGGGCUGAGGCCACGUUCAAUGCUGUGUCUAAUUCAGCUUUGUAUCC